rfam:Salmonella enterica subsp. enterica serovar Typhimurium str. LT2, complete genome.
AUGUACUGAGUACUGCGAAGAAGGGGGGAUAAACAAAACGCCCACAUAAGCGGGCGUUGUUGUUGAUA